CUCUGCUCUCUUUAUAUACCCCAUUUUCUUCAAUCAACCCUAGCGCCGUUCUCAGUUCUUAUUCUCGUUUCUCCUGUGACGUUCUUCUUCUUGCCUUUCCUUUUUCUGCUCUGUUUGCAUGUUUUUAUUCGUCAUUGUUCUCCAAUUCCUGUGUCAGUCAUUUGUGUCAUCAAUCAUUUUCUUUUUUCAUAACAAAUAAACCAGAUUUUGGUGGAUUUUGCAUCUUUUUUCCUUCCGCAAAGCGUGUGCUUCUGGAUUGAGUUAUAAACCUUGUCCAUCAUGUCGUAAUUGUCUUUUUUCCCUAUUUGUGAUCUAGUUAAUGCUAUUUUAUUUGAGUUCUUUUGUGAAAUUCAAGUAAUGAUCAUCAUGCACUAAGAUAGUUGUAUUUUUAUUUUACUGUCUAAUGCAAUACCAUAUGUGCAAUUAUUCUGAGUUAAAUUAAGCUUUAAUUUAGAUAACUAUGUUAUCUCUUAUAUGCCAACAUGCACAUCAAUAUUUUUCUGUAUGAGAUUCAACUCAUGUAUAAGUAGACUUCAUUGGAAUCAGUUGUUUAGGUUAAGGGUUUAUGCAUUUACAAUAGGGAUGGAGCUUUUUGCCCCGAAUCCUGCCCAAUGAUGUACAAGAUGGACUAUUGAGCAGCUCCACGGUUUUUGUUCAUGACCUGAUAUGCACUCUCCUCUCUCUCUCUCUCUCUCUUUCUCUUUCUCUCUCUUACUCUCUUUUUUAAUCUUGUGUGUGUGUGUGUUUCAGUGUUUAUGUUUGGUGCAAGAUGGUUGUGAAUGAAACCCGUGGCAAAAGCUGAAGAUGAUUUUUAUAAGCUAUGAGAUCUGAGGGCUUUGGAUUCGUUCUUCUUUCACUUUACAUGAUCUAGUUAAUGAUAUGUUGAUUGAUAUGCUAAUAAAAAGUGGGUUUAUGCUUAAAAAGAUUUUUUUUUUGUUUUGCUUCGAUUUGUGCUUAUGAUUUUUGUGACUCCAUUUUGAUUUGCCAUUGUUUCAGUUUCUUGUCUCUUACCCUUCCUCUUUCGUUUCGUCAUUCACUAGCCAUCAUGUUUGGCCUGAAUGGUCCCAUAAGAAUGCGCCGUGAGCCUAAACCCUAAUCUUAUCCUAUACAUACAUGUUGAAGUAUGGUGACGACUGCAGCAAUUGAUCCUUUGCAUCCUUUUAAUUAAGGAAAUCACAAUUGAGAGAGAACAUGAAAUUUCGCUUCUCUAAUGUGUUUCCUUGAUUAAAGAGAUUUACUGGAUCAUCACAUUCUUACUUUGGUCGUUCUACCUGUUUGUCUUUAAUUUUUUGUUUGUGAUUUAUGAAUUUUAUGCCAUGUAAAACAUUGCCCUUGUUUAUGUGCUUCUUGAAGCUUGUUUCAAUUCCUUUUCUAGUACAGAGUGUCUGAAUUUCUGAAUUUGGUCAGUCAAGGACCUUGAUUAACAAAGCUUCUACUUCUGAAAUUGUAAAAUUGCAGAUGUAUCUGGUUCUAAAUUAGACUGGUUAUUAUUAUACAUUUUUACUGUGCCUGUUUUUAGUUGUCUUUUAACUUCCUGUAUUUGAAAUUUUUCUAUUUAUUGUUAAAGCUGAUUUUUUUUAGUGUUAGUGAAUGAUGAUACUUGUACUGGGCUCUGAGCAGUUUUAACUGUACUAUUGAUGGAAAUGUGCUGCAUAGAAAUCUUUUUCUGACAUUGACUUUGUUUUCUUUCACAGGUCUCAUGAACAUGAGUAUAAGCCAAAGUUAAUUAAGUACUUUUUUAGAUGGACUUGAAACACAAUUUUUUUGCUACCUUGAUGUUUGCUUCCUUAGCUCCGAUCUUUCAAUAGAAGAAGGAUCUUGUCCUAUAACCAGUGCAGCAUUCUUGAUAAUUUGACUAUAGUGAAAAUAACAUUCAAAUUUGUUGCUGCCCAAUGAUGGACAAAUAUAUUAUUGAGUAGCUACUUGGUUUUAUUCAUAGCUAAGCUGCACCAUUGCUUCUAUCUCUCUCUCUCUCUCUCUCUCUCUUUGGUACAUUGGGAAAUAUGAGCAAUGAUUCAUUGCACACUAUGUACGUAUAUAUAUAUAUAUUUAGAUGGUGCAAGAAGGCUGUGAGUGAAACCAGUGUCUAAAGCUGCACAUGAUUUGUAACAAGCUAUGAGAUCUGAGGGCUUUGCAUUUUUUGUGGCAAUAUAAUUUGUUUCACCUCAUAUUUCAACAGCUGUAUGUAAAUAAUUCAAUGUGUGAUUUACUCCAAUUUGUUGCCUCUAAUAAUAUUUAAAUUCAUUGCAAAAUUAGUUUUCUAAUUUUCCCUUUUUCUUUGCUUAAUCUGUUUCAUCCUUUGAUAUAGCUGUGGUUACUGCUUAUUUUUGCUGUAAUUACAAAAUGUGCUGAUAGUUCCAUCAUGAUGAAGGGCUCAUUUUUCAAACGAAAACUAGUAUUUUAGGAAAAAUAAGCUCCUUGCUCCCACAUCUGUUAUCUCGUAACACAAGUUAUAACCCUAGCGCCGCUCUCAGUUCUUAUUCUCAUUUGUCCUGUAAACUUCUUAUCUUUCAUUCUUACUACUCUGUUUGCAUUUUCUUAUUUGUUCUUGUUUUCUGAUUGCUGUUUAAGUCAUGUGUUUCUUUAAUCAUUUUCAUUUUGUAUAACAUAUAUCAUAAUUAGUUUUUGGUGAAUUUUGCAUUUUCUUCCUUCCGAAAAGCAUGUGCUCCAAGGUUGUAGUUAUAUAUACCUUGAGUAGUUUUUUCAGUCUUCUGUGUGUUCUAGUCAAUUCUAUUAUUAUUUGAGUUCCUUUGUGAAAUGCUAAUAUUGAUUGUCUUCCACUAAGAUAGUGAUUUUUAUUUAUUUUAAUGUCAAAUACAAUCCCAUAUGUGCUAUUAGAUAACUAUAUUAUCUCUUAUAUUCCAUUAUGUGUACUGAUAUUUGUGUGUAUGAGAUUCAACUCAUUUCAUUGGAUUCAAUUGUUUAUGUUUAGGGUUUAUUCAUUUACCCCUCGUUUUUAACUACACUUUAAUAGGGAUAAUUGGAGCUUAUUGCCCCAAAUCCUGCCCAGUGAUGUACAAAAUAGACAAUUGAGCAGCUACACGUUUUGUUCAUGACCUGAUAUGCACUCUCCUCUCUCUCUCUCUCUCUCUCUCUCUCUCUCUCUCUUGUGUGUGUGUGUGUGUAUCUGCGUGUGCUUGUGCAUGUUUGGAUAUAAGUACUUGCAUCGGUGCAAGAAGGUUGUGAAUGAAACUUGUGGCAAAAGCUGUAGAUGAUUUUGUACAAGCUAUGAGAUCUGAGGGCUUUGGAUUCUUUCUUUCUGUUUACAUGAUCUAGUUUAAGAUGAUCCAUUUGCUAAAAGGUUGGUUUAAGCCAAGAUUCUGUUUGUUCUUGUCUCCAUUUGUGCUUGUGAUUUUUGUGACUGUUUUGAUUAGCCAAUGGAGUUUUUGAUCCCUUACCCAACCUCCUUUGUUUUUUCAUCCUGGUUCUUUCUGAAAAUAAUGUCCUCCAUCAAAUUCACGUUCGACCAUACUGUCCUAUAAGAAUCCUCCCCCAGACUUUACCCUAAUUCCUAUCCCAUAUAUACAAGUUGAUGCAUGGUUACAUCUACAGCAAUUGAUCCUUUGCAUUUUUUUAAUCAAGGAAAUCACAUUUGAGAGAGAAGAUAUAAUUCCCCUUCUCUAAUGUGUUUCCUUGAUUGAAGAGAUUCACUGGAUCAUCACAUUUUCACCUGGAUCAUUCCAUCUGUUCUUCCGAAAUUGGUGCAAUAGUGGGUAGGUCUUGCACCCAUGCCAUAUAUGCUCAAGUGAACAGAGAAGGACCAAUUGGUAAAUUCAUUCGUUCUCCAAAUAUAUGCUCUCGUCGGACUCUUAUCCCUUUCACUCUCUUCAAACCCUGGCAUCGUUUCCUUUAUUUUUCUUCACACUGCUCUGUUUGCAUUUUUCUUCGUCCUUCUGUGUUUUUAUUUGCAUUUUCGUUUUGCAUCAACCUUAUCAUUUACAUCUAUCUUAAGUAGUCUUGUAGAUUUUUCAUCCUCUUUUUGAAAAACCUUUGUGGCUUCAGUGUAGUCAUGUAGCAUGUCUAUCACUUACGGAUAACUAGGUAGUUAUGUGCACUUAAUAUGAAUUGAUUAAAGCUUCUGUGUGGAUAACUAUGCAAUCUCUUGCAUUGCAAAUAUAGAUGUUAAAUACGAAUUUCAGUUCAUCUAUAACUAGAUCUCAUGAGAAUGGUCAAAUAUGUUGUUCAUUUAGUUUUGUUGUUACAUGUCAGAUUCAUUCAUUUGUUUGGCUUUGUCUUGGGUCUCUAUAUUUACUGACCCUCGUUUUUAUAAUUUAGUUGGAAAAUAAUUUUGCUGCUUCGCUUCAAUAACUUGAGCAAUCCUGCCCAAUGAUGUACAAAUUAGACAAUUGAACAGCUACACUGUUUGGUUCAUAACCUGAUAUGCACCUUCACUCGCUCUCUCUCACUCUCUAUCUUCGUGUGUUUGUGUGUGACUCCGUGCAUGUUUGUUUGGAUCAGCUUCUUAUUUUGGGGGUGCAAGAAGGAUGUGAAUCAAACUAGUGGCCAGAGCUGUGAAUAAUUUUGUAUUGAGCUAUUAGAUCUGAGUGCUCCUCAUAUUUUAAAUUAACCCAAACUUACGAGGGUCAGUAACAUAUAAUCAAUGGUUUAAUUCUUGAUGGUUUUGACUUCUAAUUAUUUGACUGUUAUUCCAGCACCUUGGUAAUCUAGUGUGCUGUCUUUCUUUUUCUCUCAAUUUUCUACCUGAUAUCCUCUUACUUAUACUGUUUCUCCUUAUUAAUCUUGCAUUUUCCUGUUUAUAAGGGCUGAAUAACUUUAUCCUCCCAAUGUCCAAGGUUAUGCGUUCCUUAUUACAGAACAGUGUAAUUAAAAAGGCCGAUGAAGCGAUGAAGUGUCUAUGCUAAUCAGGUGUGAUUUCUGAUGCUUGGGAGCUUGUUGUUUAGAUACAUGCCAAAGGUCAACCACCAGAUAAAUUAGCAACCACUGAAAGCCUUUUUGGUAGGUUUUGUAAAACGUGGCUCAUAGUUUGUUUUUAUGUUCAAUUGCAUAGGGCAUUUGAAGUUGUUACGUGUUUCCUCUAUAAAAGAAUUAUCUUAGUUUAUACACACACACACACACACACAUUACACAUAUAUUCUACCUUUUGGAUGCUAGCUGUGUUGGAGUCGAUGUGGCUUCUUAGGCAGUAUUUAACAUUGAGAGUUUUCUUUCAUUGGAUGCAUGAAUACCUAAGCUGAACGAAUUUGGAAUUUUUAAUGGGCAUGGUGUACAUUUCUGUGGUAGCAUGAUGUGGUUUAUUUACUGCAGUUUUGAUCUUUAACUAAAAGAAGCCCCUUUGCACAUAUGGCCCUAUGAUAGGACAACAUUCUGAUAAUAUUACGGAUUGUGAAAAUAUCGAAAAAAGGAUGUAGGUGCCCAAUGAUGGACAAAUAGAUUGAGUAGGUACUGAGUUUUAUUAAUAGCUAGACUGCACCACCAUUGCUUCUAUCUUUUCUCUCCUCUCUUUCUCCCCUAAACCAAGCAAAGCGUAUGUGUGUGUUUGUGUAUAUAUAUAUAUAUUUGGAUGGUGCAAGAAGGCUGUUAAUGAGACCAGUGUCCAAAGCUGCAAAUGAUUUGUAACUUAGCUAUGAGAUCUGAGGGCUUUGCAUUUUUUGAAUCAAUGGAAGAUUUUUCACCGCAUAUUCAACAACUGUUGGUAAUGAAUUAAUAUGGGUUUUACACUCCAAUUUCAACUACUGUUUGCUAUAUCUUUGUUCAUAGCAAAAUAAGUGUUGCUAAUACUUGGCAUCCUAAAUUUUAGUUUUCUUUAGCCUUAGCUUUUGUUGGGGAUAUUUAUGGCAAAAUAUACAUCCUACGGUUUGAGUUUUGGGAUUUACUAAUCUUUUUCUCUUUUUUUACCUGUUAUUGUGUUACUAUGAUUUAAUAUUAGUUUGAAUUUAUAUUGCCUUUGUUCUUAUUGCCUUUGGUGUGCUAACUGCUACAUCUGAAACUAGUAAAAUUGCUGCUGGACAUGGCGCUAAACAAUGUUUGUUCUAUUAUAGUUUUUUUAUAUAUCACUUUUUGCCUUGUUAUACUCCUGCUAUUUAUUGAUGAAGUUAAUGAGUUGAAAUGACAGGCUGACUCCAUGAGUUCGAACCAAUAAAAGAGAUGGCUAGGGAAGUUACUUCAGCAAUCACCUUGGGUCUUAUUUAUAAGUGCUUUUUUACCUUGCUACUGUAAUCCUUCCUUUGAAUGUGACUGAGGUUAGGGCUGGUGCUGAAGUUGAACAUGUAUUCGGGUCAAGGGAGGUGUUGAGGAUCUAGGGGGCACAUCAACAUUGAUAGGCAAGAACCUAAAAUCUUAACCACCAUUAUCUGAAUUUGCUUGUUGUUUGUUUAAAUUGAGCUCUUCAAAUUCUUAAGUUGUGUUUAGGUAGUUUAACCCAUGAUCUUCUAGAUGUUCUUCAAUUUUUCUCUGGCAUUCUUGGUCCUUGCCUUUCAACGUUGAUGCGCCCUCAUAAGGAUUGGUGAUGUUUUUCAAAUGAAAUUCCUUUGGGAUAGAUCUAUUGAUAUGUUCCUAUCUAUUGAUAUGCUCCUAUGUUACGUUUCCAUAUGCAGUUGGAACCUAAGGAAUCGCACAUAAAUCAGGGUGCAUACAUUAAAAUAUGGACACAGGUUUUGCUAUUUUUCUUCAACUUUUUGCAAAUCAUAUGAUUAAAAUAUGACAUGCUACCAGAGAUGUUUGAAGCUACAGCUACAGCUUCUCAGGAGAUAAAGGCUUAGGCUAUUACUGGGGAAAGCUUCAAAGAGCUUUCUCUCGACGCCACUUAUGAUCUGGCCUUGUGUAUUUGAUCAAGUCUCUAUAUGAUCUUUGCCACAAUGAUGGUAGUGGCCUUGCAUUUGAUAAUUGCGGCUAGUUUGUACUUUGUAGCUUUAGAUGGAGUAGUAUUUACCCUCAUGGAAGUCUUUGUAGACCUUUCCCAAGUGGGGGUUGUGGUUAUAGCAAAGGUGGAAGACACGGUGUGGUGGACGAUGGAGGAGAUGCAGAUGACAACAAUGAGUGGUGGAGGGUUGGGGUUGUGGUGGCGGUGGUGGUGUGAGUAUUGACAAGGCCACUGUGAUGAGUAGCUACGUACACCAAUGAGUGAGUAGCUAUGUACACCUAUGAGUUGGUGCUUCCGACCACUCACGUAAACGUUUGGUGUAGUUAUAAUUUCGUUCUUUAGCUGACCACGAUUGCAUCAUGUAUGCUUGUAUGCAUGCAUCGGGAUGAUGGUACAAGCUUAACACAUAAAUUACUUCAAAAGCAACUGGCAUCUUGUAUAACUAUAUUCUAAUCAGAUACUAAUAUGGUUGUUUGUUGUUUCA